UAGUAAGAUGACUGAAAGACUAAGUGGUAGAUUGUAAAUCUAUAAAUAAAGGUUAGAUUCCUUUUCUUACUAA
rnacentral:tRNA from 1 species